rnacentral:rRNA from 1 species
CGGUGUUUAUUACGAAGAGGGUCCACCCGUUCCCAUUCCGAACACGGUAGUUAAGCUCUUCAGUGCCGAAAAUACUUGGCGGGCAGCC